UGCUCAGGCUGGACACCUCCUUAGAGUUUGAUCCUGGCUCAGGCUGGAACACCUCCUUAAAGUUUGGUCCCGGGUGCGGGUGAGAGGGGUACAACUUGGGAAAACCGAAUAUAAUACCGGAUAGGAUCUUCUCCUUCGUGGGAGAUGAUUGAAAGAUGGUUUCGGCUAUCUUUUACAGAUGGCCCCGCGGCGCUUUAGCUAGGUGGUGAGGUAACGGCUCCCCAGGGACACGAUGCAUAGCCCACCUGAGAGGGUGAUCGGCCACACUGGGUCUGAGACACGGCCCACACUCCUAGGGGAGGCCGCAGUAGGGAAUCUUCCGCAGUGGACAAAAGUGUGACGGAGCAACCCCGCGUGAGUGAUGAAGGUUUUCGGGUCGAAAAACUCUGUUGUUAGGAAAAAACAAGUACGAGAGUAACUGCGCGUACCUUGACGGUCCCUAACCAAAAAGCCACGGCUAAUUACGUGCCAGCAGCCGGGGAAAUACGUAGGUGGCAAGCGUUAUCCGGAAUUAUUGGGCGUAAAGGGCGCGCAGGGGGUUUCUUAAGUCUGAUGUGAAACCCCCCGGCUCACCCGGGGAGGGUCAUUGGAAACGGGGGAACUUGAGUGCAGAAAAGAAAAGCGGAAUUCCACGUGUAGCGGUGAAAUGCGUANAGAUGUGGAGAAACCCCAGUGGNNAAGGNNNCUUUUUGGUCUGAAACUGACCCUAAGGNGCGAAAGCGUGGGGAGCAAANGGGAUUANAAACCCUGGNGUCCCCGCCGUAAACGAUGA
rnacentral:rRNA from 1 species